UAACAGAGGGUGCGAGCGUUGUCCGGAAUUAUUGGGCGUAAAGAGCUCGUAGGCGGUUUGUCGCGUCGGCCGUGAAAUCUCCACGCUUAACGUGGAGCGUGCGGUCGAUACGGGCAUGACUGGAGUUCGGCGAGGGAGACUGGAAUUCCUGGUGUAGCGGUGAAAUGCGCAGAUAUCAGGAGGAACACCGGUGGCGAAGGCGGGUCUCUGGGCCGAUACUGACGC
rnacentral:rRNA from 1 species